UUAACAUCAAUACAGCAUAUUUUUUUAAAACAACAAAUUUUUGAGUAAACUGAAACAAUGCUACUAGAGUUUAACUUCAAAUGUAAAUUAAUGUUGUUUAAAAAAAUAAUUUUGUAGAAUCAAAAAUUAUUAUUGAUUGAAUUACUGCUGUCAUUUUUUUUUGUUUACAAGGCAAACAGAGAAAGGCCAUUGUGAAAAAACGACGAAAAGUGAAGUGGACCAGGAAGUGGAUUAUGAAUUUAUUUAAUUCAUUAAUCCACUCCGGCAGGAUUUGUUGCAAAGCCAUAUAGAGAUUAUGCUAUUACCAAUACUGGUUGGCACCCCUGAAUGUACGAACAAAAGUUAAAAAUUCUAUCUCUGGCGGAACGGACCUGGUUCGAUCAUGAUUCUAAAUUGAUUCAUGAUGCCGUACGUCACCACUUCCGUUACAAUAAGAAACUAAACACUAAGGAAGAGCACAUUAGGAAGAAUUACAUCUGCACAUGAUUCAGUUGCCUACAGCGUAUUCAAAAAUGUAUUUCCCGGAUGUGUGCUUGAUUCUUCAUGUUGGUUCUUCAAAUUUAAAAACAUAAUAAAACGCGUAAAAAUGUGUACUUUUGUUUUUUGUUUACUGUUUUUAAUAAUAAUAAUAAUAAUAAAAUAAAACAAAUCGAAAAUUCAACAAAUACGAGUUUUAGUUUCAAACCGAUUGUUUUAGUUACACCAAUACAUUGCAUUUGUUGUUUUGACAAAUUUUAAUUUUUGUUUCAACAAAAUUUAUCAUUUGUUGAUGACAGUUGUCAAUUUUAGGCGAUUUUAGAAACAACAAAUCUAUUUUUCGAAACUAAUUAGCGUAAUAGUUGAUUCAAAAAAAGUUUCUGGUAAGCCCUGAGUCAACAAUAAAAUUUGUUGAAUCUAUGCGUAAUACUUUUGCUUUUACAAUAU